GGAAUCGCUAGUAAUCGCGGAUCAGAAUGCCGCGGUGAAUACGUUCCCGGGUCUUGUACACACCGCCCGUCACACCAUGGGAGUCGGAAAUGCCCGAAGUCUGUGACCUAACCGCAAGGGAGGAGCAGCCGAAGGCAGGUCGGAUGACUGGGGUGAAGUCGUAACAAGGUAAC
rnacentral:rRNA from 1 species